UUCCUACGGGACGCAGCAGUGGGGAAUAUUGCACAAUGGGGGGAACCCUGAUGCAGCGACGCCGCGUGGGUGAAGAAGUAUUUCGGUAUGUGAAGCCCUAUCAGCAGGGAAGAAGAAAUGACGGUACCUGAGUAAGAAGCACCGGCUAAAUACGUGCCAGCAGCCGCGGUAAUACGUAUGGUGCAAGCGUUAUCCGGAUUUACUGGGUGUAAAGGGAGCGUAGACGGCGAUGCAAGUCUGAAGUGAAAGGCGGGGGCCCAACCCCCGGACUGCCUUGGAAACUGUAUGGCUGGCGUGCAGGAGAG
rnacentral:rRNA from 1 species